rnacentral:sRNA from 1 species
GGCAAGGUGGGGUCCCUGCAGUGCACUUUGAGGCACGUCAGGAAGGUGUGGCCCCUCGCCUGUCCUCCCAGUGGCAAAGGUGGAGGUAGCCCGCAGGGACCCUCAGUACUGUCUGCGCGGUCCCCACCAAAUCACAGCCCUGUGCUCUGGGCCCCUCUAUCCCUUCCUCUCUGCACCUUGAAGGUGGCCCAGGAGGACGCCCGGUGCCUGGAGCUGGCAGGUAGCAGCAUCACUGAAUUGGGGGAGCCACGGCGCCCACUGAGGAGCCCCCAACGUGCCACAUCCCCCCAUCAAGGGGCGUCCCCACCACACAUCUGCUCCCCAGCCGCCCUGGACCCUGCACUGCAGGCCAUGCGGGCAGCCAUAGAGAGGCGGUGGCGGCGGGAACAGGAGCUGUGCCUGCAGCUGAAGUCCUCCCAGGCACUGGUGGCCAGUCUCCGGGAGCAGCUGUCCGAAAGCCGGCGGGAGCUGUGGGCCGCACAGAAGCUCCAGCAGGAGCGGGCUCGGGAGCAGGCACGGGAACAAGAGGCUCUUCGGGGCCAGCUGGAGGCCCAGAGGCUCGAGGUGCAGCAGUGCC